UUUUAAACUGAAUACUAAAAUACAUAUAAUGAUAUCCAACAGAGAGCUGCAUCAAGUUUUCUGUCCAUACAAAGAUAACAAAGUUCAGUUUUGAUUGACACUGUCAGAGAGGUAUUCAUUUAACAAUAUGCUUAUUUUUGUGUUUGUAGUCACAGUGGUGUAGAAUUGUAUGGCAUCAUGAUGAUAGCUGUUCCUUCAUAUUUUGGUGAUGAUGCACCUGUUAAGUACCUGCAUUGGUGAGUUGACUCCUGAGUCGGCGGAUCUCCACCAUUGCUUUGUACCUCAGGCCGUUCUCCUCGCAAAAUUUGGGGGUACAGCCGGCGAAUUCACACGCGCCGACAGCACCUGAAGUCAUACGCACACGUGUGGUAUGUUUCAGGCAGGUUCUUGCCAAGGAUGCCACCUGAGCCAAAACUAACUUACCCAACAUGACCAUGACGUCCCCCAGCAAGAGUGACGGCCCUUGCCCCGCCCAUAGCCUCCUCAUUUGGGCCAUCCGAGCACGACGCUGGGAGAGCUUGGAGCUCUCGUCUUCGCUACCUGCAGUGGCUCCUUGAGAGCUCCUAGAGAGACCAACAACUGUUCUGCUGCCACAAGAGCCUCGGUAGAAGGAGGAGUCGGGAAGGGAAAAUUUACCACCUGCAAGCAGUACAAAUGACCAGGUCGUCCACAGGCCUGCGAGUGAUUUCUGCUUCCGAGAACAGACUGAAGUCACCAAAUACUGCAGACGAGUACAACCUGCAGGAGAAGAAGAAUCUAUUUGAAGAAUUGUUCAUGAUCUGCCAAACAGCUGUGUUGAAGUGAGUUGAGUUUGCUACCAUCAUCGAGCGCUCCUAUCCCGAAAAGCUCGUAAGUUGGCUAACUCAUAAGUCAAAGUAACACUGUAUUUUACAUGACAAAAAUCUUAUGGUAGUCCAUCGAACUAAAAAAAUAAGUGGAUACAAGGUUUAAUUAUGUCUCUUCGACAUGUUGUCCUCACACAAACACACUCCUAAAUAUCGAAACAAAUCUGACCUGUAACAAUGUCCCGGCUCUGUUCGGCCCGCUCUACCCGCCCUCUGAUUGGCUGAUGCUUGCGAGGUCCACGUGACCUUGAAGGAGGACACCCCAGUCACGCGGUCGAAGAAGCGCUUCUUCACGCGGCCGCAGUCCACCACGUAUUUGAUGCCGGGGAUGGUCAACGAGGUCUCAGCCACGUUGGUGGCAACCACACACAGACGAGUGCCGGGAGGAGGAGGCCUGAAUACCUACACACACACACACACACACACACACACAUUGAGGUUACAUUACAAGAGUAAAGAUUCACUAGAAUUGAUUUGCUCUCGUGGAUGAGGAUCAGUCUGUUCACCUUGGCCUGUUGCUCAGGAGCCAGCAAAGAGUAGAGCGGGAGGACGUACAUGGGGAUGGACGGGUCGGCCUUCUCCUCUACAGGGACAAACCACAACCGAAUUCAUCAUUUGAUAUAUUUCACAUCCCUCAAGUUGCAAAAUGAGCAGCGAGGCUUGCCCGUGUCGCCAGGAUCGUCUCCGAUGUCCAAGUCGGAGCCUUCGUCCUCAGCUAUCCCCGCCUCCCUGUCCUCGUCUCCUUCGUCCACGGGAAGGGCAGAGUAGUUGUCCAGG